GACGAACGCUGGCGGCGUGCUUAACACAUGCAAGUCGAACGGUGAAAGCGGAGCUUGCUCCGCUGGAUCAGUGGCGAACGGGUGAGUAACACGUGGGCAACCUGCCCCUCACUUCGGGAUAACUCCGGGAAACCGGGGCUAAUACCGGAUAUGACCUCCUUGGGCAUCCUUGGAGGUGGAAAGUUUUUCGGUGAGGGAUGGUCCCGCGGCCUAUCAGCGUGUUUGUGAGGUAGUGGCUCACCAAGGCGACGACGGGUAGCCGGUCUGAGAGGGCGACCGGCCACACUGGGACUGAGACACGGCCGAGCCUCCUACGGGAGGCAGCAGUAGGGAAUAUUGCGCAAUGGGCGAAAGCCUGACGCAGCAACGCCGCGUGCGGGAUGACGGCCUUCGGGUUGUAAGCCGCUUUCAGCAGGGAAGAAGCCGCAAGGUGACGGUACCUGCAGAAGAAGCACCGGCUAACUACGUGCCAGCCGCCGCAGUAA
rnacentral:rRNA from 1 species